AGUGAACGCUGGCGGUAGGCCUAACACAUGCAAGUCGAACGGCAGCACAGUAAGAGCUUGCUCUUACGGGUGGCGAGUGGCGGACGGGUGAGGAAUACAUCGGAAUCUACUUUUUCGUGGGGGAUAACGUAGGGAAACUUACGCUAAUACCGCAUACGACCUACGGGUGAAAGCAGGGGAUCUUCGGACCUUGCGCGAUUGAAUGAGCCGAUGUCGGAUUAGCUAGUUGGCGGGGUAAAGGCCCACCAAGGCGACGAUCCGUAGCUGGUCUGAGAGGAUGAUCAGCCACACUGGAACUGAGACACGGUCCAGACACCUACGGGAGGCAGCAGUGGGGAAUAUUGGACGAUGGGCGCAAGCCUGAUCCAGCCAUACCGCGUGGGUGAAGAAGGCCUUCGGGUUGUAAAGCCCUUUUGUUGGGAAAGAAAAGCAGCAGGUUAAUACCCCGCUGUUCUGACGGUACCCAAAGAAUAAGCACCGGCUAACUUCGUG
rnacentral:rRNA from 1 species